GAUGAAGAACGUAGCGAAAUGCGAUAAGUAAUGUGAAUUGCAGAAUUCAGUGAACCAUCGAAUCUUUGAACGCACAUUGCGCCCGGCAGUAAUCUGCCGGGCAUGCCUGUCCGAGCGUCAUUUCUGCCCUCGAGCGAGUCCAGCAUCUAGGUGCUGGGCCCGCCCGGCGUUGGGGCACUACGGGGAGCCCUGUGCUGUCCCCCGUAGGCCCCGAAAUGAAGUGGCGGUCCUGCCGCGGCGCCCCCUGCGUAGUAUAACAGCUCGCUUCGGGACCCGGUGGAGGCCUGCCGUCAAACCUUACUCUCUAAGUUUGACCUCGGAUCAGGUAGGGUUACCCGCUGAACUUAAGCAUAUCAAUAAGCGGAGGA
rnacentral:misc_RNA from 1 species